UACGUAGGGUGCAAGCGUUACCCGGAAUCACUGGGCGUAAAGGGCGUGUAGGCGGAUACAAAAGUCUGGUUUUAAAGACCGAAGCUCAACUUCGGGAGUGGACUGGAAACUGAGUAACUAGACCUCUGGAGAGAGAACCGGAAUUCCUGGUGUAGCGGUGGAAUGCGUAGAUACCAGGAGGAACACCAAUGGCGAAGGCAGGUUCUUGGACAGAAGGUGACGCUGAGGCGCGAAAGUGUGGGGAGCGAACCGG
rnacentral:rRNA from 1 species